rnacentral:rRNA from 1 species
UACGGAGGGGGCAAGCGUUGUUCGGAAUUACUGGGCGUAAAGGGCGCGCAGGCGGCUGCUCAAGUCAGGCGUGAAAGGCCUGGGCUCAACCCGGGAAUUGCGCUUGAGACUGGGCUGGCUUGAGUGCGGGAGAGGAUGGUGGAAUUCCCAGUGUAGAGGUGAAAUUCGUAGAUAUUGGGAAGAACACCGGUGGCGAAGGCGGGUCUCUGGGCCGUAACUGACGCUGAGGAGCGAAAGCGUGGGGAGCGAACAGG